AUGUUGAUCAUGGGCGCCGGAAACUGUUCCGGCCAAGCAAUCAGUGACUUCUCUAAGCACAUCGACGGGCAGUUGAUGCGAGUGAACGCUCUUCUAGUGGCAAGCACCAUUGUGAUAGGAGUUAUGGUUGGGAUCGGUGCCUAUGGUCAGCGCUACCGUCACCAUCCACUGACAAGCUUCUUCUUCCUUGGUGCCAGCACAUUGUUCCUGCCCAUCCUCUCCUAUGUUGUCUCUACCAUCAGUGGUAAUCAAGGUCCCGUCGCUGUUUUGUCUGAUACACAAAUAAUAACAGCGUGGUGCAACACAUGGAGACACAUCACCCUUGUCUUGGUAUGGGCUAGUCUUGUUCAGAUUGCUGCCGUCAACACCAGUGCAAUAGUUGCUGGUGAUGACAAGAAAGGCCGAAACAUUGCCUCCCCUCCUGCCACGGUGCUGCUUGUUCAAGCAAUAUGGACUUCCUACCUUGUCGUUAACUUUAUUGGAAAGGCUUAUGAUGCAGAUUUUGGAAAUGUAUUUAUCCCAAUUCUUGUUCCACCGUUUGCUGUUCUUGUUGCCAAACUACUUGUCAAAUAUCAUGCUUGGUACGGGGCAAGAGGGUCAUUAGGAUUUGGGCGCAAUCCUAAUCUCAUCGUUGGAUACAUGGAGCAGCUAAAAGCCGAGCUAGCAAGUGAGCAGCAUUCCCUUCCUCCACUCAUUGUUACAGGAGAGGACACAACAUUAGUACACAAGGAGCCUCAUGGUUAUAGCCUCAAUCAAGCCAAUGGGACAGGGAUAGACAACAAUGGCUUAGUGACAAUUGACAAAGAUUGGCAGUUGGAGGAUGACAUAUUUCUGACGUGUUCAACCAAGCAGCUUAAAGAUCUAUGCUAUUCAUUUGCGCUGUUCAAGCUGUUAAGAUGCCGAUUUGCAAGGCACACAAUUGCUGAGACUGGUUCCAUGAAGGCCCAUACCUUAUUGCCACACGUGUUGCUCCAAGUCAACGAUGAUGAAAGAACACUUGGAGUGAUCGCAGAUGAGCUUUCUUUCCUUCAUGAUUAUUAUUACUCAUCUCUACCAACCUUGUAUUCAAGGAGUUGGUUCCCCAUUUUGAGCAUAUUUAUUUCACUCCUUAGCAUGGGCUGGAGCUUAUUCUGCAUAUUGGCCACAACUUUUGUGAUUGUGAUGUUGGCUUCAAAGGGUGGUGCUGGGCAGAUGCUUUGUUCCAUAGAUUGCCAUCCUAUGUACGACAAAAGAUAUGGAAGUCUUUUCUUCGAUUUUGCACCGGUGUUUUUACUUGCGGCGCUAGUCGUGCUUUGCCGAGGUGCGGGAGAUUGCUUGUUACAUCUGCUCUAA
rnacentral:rRNA from 1 species